CUCAACUCAACUCAACUCAACUCAACUCAACUCAACUCAACUCAACUCAACUCAACUCAACUCAACUCAACUCAACUCAACUCAACUCAACUCAACUCAACUCAACUCAACUCAACUCAGACCGACAAAUUCUUCAAUAGAAACUCUAUGUUGCCUGCUAAUCUUGAUUUGGAAGUAGAGGCUCGAGGAAAUGGACAAGGAAUACUAGAGGUAUUAUCACGAUACAUAAGAAUGGACUUGUAGAAUGACAUGAAUGGAGUAUGGGGUUACUAACCAAGACUGACCUCAUUCGAGUCUCACUUUCAUGGCGUGCUGAAACCGCAACAAUCCAUUCUAAAUGUAUUUCAGAAAUAUCACAAAGACCUUGCCGCUAAGGGCUUUGUUUAUGAGUACAAUACUUAUACGCUACUGUCUGCUUUUCCUCUUAUGUUUGUUUGUUGUUUGUUUUCUUUCCACUACAGGGAAAGACGACCACGGGUUGUGACCUAUUACAAUCAGCUGCAUGAGGUGGAAGAGAAAAUGCCCUGCAAGCACUUUGAUCUCAACGUCACUUUUGAAGGAUCCAGCGCAGGGCUCUAGGACCCAGAGACGUCAGGAUGGUGGUUCUUGAUGUCAGUCUACCAACUGGAUUCACCCCAGAAAACUCUGACCUGGAGAUGGUAAUCACCUUCUAGUGCUAGUGCAGAAAAAUCUGAAAGCUUGUGUCAAUGGUGUAUUUAAGUGUCUUUAAAAUGAAUGUAGUAUUUUAAAUAAAAGUUUGUAAAAAGUUUACUACAUCAUGAUAAUGACCUUCUAAUGGAUGAGACAUGAAUGAUCGCAUGUUUAGGACGGCGGCGUUGCUAACUAGCUAACAGCUGACUCUGUUUAUGUGUGUGUCCAGCUGUCCAAUUCAGUGCAUCGUUACAUCAGUAACUUCCAGAUUGUAGACAACCUGAGUGACAGAGGCUCCCUGAUCAUUCACCUGUUCAAAGUAACAUCACUGUAUUUAUAAUUAUUAUUCUAUAUCAUAUCAUUUUA